GUAAGAUGCCUAUAACUCUGAGUCAGUUAUCAGGGAGAAUCAAAUUAACAAAUUAACUCUGAUUCUGCUACGUGUCAAUAGCCCAAUGCCUCCUCUUUACUUGGCUUUAGUUUUCCCAGCAAGUAUACAUAUAACAUAAGCCUUUUAUAUUCUUCGUUCUUAUAGAAACAGUCUCCAGCAAUCCAAGACAUCUCUGUCUUUUUUAACCAUUAAUGGAGGCUUUAAUUAGCUUUUCCACAAAGAUCUUCGCAAGAAAUGGUAACAAAAGUCCACCGCCCUCAACAUUAACUCAACAGGUUCGAUCUGAUUUUGCCUUUUCACCAUCUCCAACUUUCAAGAAACUACACUUUGAUCAUUUGGUUUCACUUCGAUCCAUCACUAAAUCUCAUGUGGCAUCUGGUGCGGCUGAGGUGUCAACAGGCCUGGAAAAUGCAGUAGCUGGCAUCCCAAAUCUAGGCAAGUAACAUUAUUCUUUACUCCACAUUCUUGAAUGCAAAUACAACUUCCCAAUAAUCAACAAUUUAAGGCUUCUCUGCUUCUCAGAAAGACCAAAGACUGCACAUGUGAAAUUCCAGUUGCAGAGGCCGUGCAUGUUUGGUGACGCAUAUUUCCUGUCGGGUGAUGACCCGAUUCUUGGUUCAUGGAAUCCUACAUUUGCUGUACCAAUGAAGUGGUCAGAUGGUCACAUUUGGAGUCUUGAGUUGGAUGUACCCAUUGAAUCAACAAUCCAAUUCAAAUUUAUACUCAAGCGAAGCAAUGGAAAUGUGUUUUGGCAGCCUGGCCCAGAUAGAAUUUUUAAGAGCUGGGAAAGCGAAGGCACUGUUGUUAUUACGGAAGAUUGGGAAAGUCCUGAACCUCAAAAAAUUACAGAGGAGCUACUUAUGAAUCAAAUUGAGGAGCUUUAUCAAAGGUAGAAACUAA